rnacentral:rRNA from 1 species
GGGAUUGCCCUAGUAACGGCGAGUGAAGCGGCAACAGCUCAAAUUUGAAAUCUGGCCUUCGGGUCCGAGUUGUAAUUUGUAGAGGAUGCUUUUGGUGAGAUACCUUCCGAGUUCCUUGGAACAGGACGCCUUAGAGGGUGAGAGCCCCGUACGGUUGGAUAUCAAGCCUCUGUAAAGCUCCUUCGACGAGUCGAGUAGUUUGGGAAUGCUGCUCUAAAUGGGAGGUAAAUUUCUUCUAAAGCUAAAUACCGGCCAGAGACCGAUAGCGCACAAGUAGAGUGAUCGAAAGAUGAAAAGUACUUUGAAAAGAGGGUUAAAUAGCACGUGAAAUUGUUGAAAGGGAAGCGUUUAUGACCAGACCUUUGCCUGGCGGAUCAUCCGGUGUUCUUCACCGGUGCACUUCGCCUGGCUUAGGCCAGCAUCGAUUUUCGUAGGGGGAUAAAGACCGCGGGAAUGUGGCUCUCUUCGGGGAGCGUUAUAGCCCGCGGUGUAAUACCCUUAUGGGGAUCGAGGUUCGCGCUUUUGCAAGGAUGCUGGCAUAAUGGUCAUCAACGACCC